rnacentral:rRNA from 1 species
GACGAACGCUGGCGGCGUGCUUAACACAUGCAAGUCGAACGGAAAGGCCCUGCUUUUGUGGGGUGCUCGAGUGGCGAACGGGUGAGUAACACGUUAGUAACCUGCCCUUUACUUUGGGAUAACUUCAGGAAACUGGGGCUAAUACCGGAUAGGAGCUCCUGCUGCAUGGUGGGGGUUGGAAAGUUUCGGCGGUUGGGGAUGGACUCGCGGCUUAUCAGCUUGUUGGUGGGGUAGUGGCUUACCAAGGCUUUGACGGGUAGCCGGCCUGAGAGGGUGACCGGCCACAUUGGGACUGAGAGACGGCCCAGACUCCUACGGGAGGCAGCAGUGGGGAAUAUUGCACAAUGGGCGGAAGCCUGAUGCAGCAACGCCGCGUGCGGGAUGACGGCCUUCGGGUUGUAAACCGCUUUCGCCUGUGACGAAGCGUGAGUGACGGUAAUGGGUAAAGAAGCACCGGCUAACUACGUG